GGGGCCUGUGAUGAUCUUUCAUAUUAUGCCUACAUUGUUUGACUUGACAAUGAUAAGAUAUAUAUUUUGUGUCUGAGGCCUCC
rfam:Beta vulgaris subsp. vulgaris chromosome 2, whole genome shotgun sequence.